AGUGAACGCUGGCGGUAGGCCUAACACAUGCAAGUCGAACGGCAGCACAGUAAGAGCUUGCUCUUACGGGUGGCGAGUGGCGGACGGGUGAGGAAUACAUCGGAAUCUACUUUUUCGUGGGGGAUAACGUAGGGAAACUUACGCUAAUACCGCAUACGACCUACGGGUGAAAGCAUGGGAUCUUCGGACCUUGCGCGAUUGAAUGAGCCGAUGUCGGAUUAGCUAGUUGGCGGGGUACAGGCCCACCAAGGCGACGAUCCGUAGCUGGUCUGAGAGGAUGAUAAGCCACACUGGAACUGAGACACGGUCCAGACUCCUACGGGAGGCAGCAGUGGGGAAUAUUGGACAAAGGGCGCAAGCAUGAUCCAGCCAUACCGCGUGAGUGAAGAAGGCCUUCGGGUUGUAAAGCCCUUUUGUUGGGAAAGAAAAGCAGCAGGUUAAUACCCCGCUGUUCUGACGGUACCAAAAGAAUAAGCACCGGCUAACUUCGUG
rnacentral:rRNA from 1 species